rnacentral:rRNA from 1 species
GAUGAACGCUGGCGGCGUGCCUCAAACAUGCAAGUCGAGCGGGGCUAUGUAAUACCGCAAGGUAGAACAUAGCCUAGCGGCGAACGGGUGAGUAACACGUGGGUAACCUGCCUGGAAGACAGGGAUAACGAUUCGAAAGGGUCGCUAAUACCUGAUAAUAUCCUUUCAUCGCAUGGUGAUAGGAAGAAAGGGGAAACCCGCUUUCAGAUGGGCCCGCGUCCCAUCAGCUAGUUGGUAAGGUAAAGGCUUACCAAGGCGACGACGGGUAGCCGGUCUGAGAGGAUGUACGGCCACACUGGGACUGAGAUACGGCCCAGACUCCUACGGGAGGCAGCAGUUGGGAAUCUUAGGCAAUGGACGAAAGUCUGACCUAGCGACGCCGCGUGAGGGAAGAAGGCCUUCGGGUUGUAAACCUCUGUCAGUGGGGAAGAAGUAAGUGACGGUACCCAAGAGGAAGCCCCUGCUAACUACGUGCCAGCGAGCCGACGGUAAUGAGUAGUACA